GUGAACGCGACGUGACCCAGCGAGCAACGCGAGGUCGGGCCGGAAAGAGCCGAGUGAGCUCGGAGAGAUCCGCGCUAGGGCCGAAGGUGCGCCGAGAGCUAGCGCGGAGUCGCUCGAAUCAUCUGAGAAGACCAUAUGAAAUGACAGAUCAUCGGGCCUCAGAUUCUGCCUGCCUGUGAUGAUGCCCAGGAAUUGAUGGUAGAUCAUAGUCUUUAACAUCAGGUGGAAGCAGGAAGUCUUACAUUUAGGAGAAUGCACUCUACAGUGUGUCUCAAUGUUGCUCCUAAAAUGGAAAAUUUCCAGGUUCCUGCUUCGCAGAGGAAACUGGCAGACAUUCUACAGUACACAGAGAGAAGUGACUGAGAGACUCUCGGCCUGUGGGCUGAUGACAGAUGCCCCAAUUUCACAGAGCAACUUUGGAUGACUGUUCAGGCUGCCAGCUGACUCUGUCUACUCUCACAAGGCUCCCCAAAAUUGCUUGCAUCCUUCUCCUGUU